rfam:Trichoderma harzianum strain T6776 Scaffolds0255.1, whole genome shotgun sequence.
GGCCGUGUGGCUCAAUGGCAGAGCGUCUGACUACGAUUAGUAUAUCAGGAGGUUGCAGGUUCGACCCCUGUCUCGGUCA